rnacentral:sRNA from 1 species
GCGGAAACACAGGUUGCUGCGGUCCAC